rnacentral:rRNA from 1 species
AUGAACGCUGGCGGCGUGCCUAAUACAUGCAAGUCGAGCGAACAGAUGAGGAGCUUGCUCCUCUGACGUUAGCGGCGGACGGGUGAGUAACACGUGGAUAACCUACCUAUAAGACUGGGAUAACUUCGGGAAACCGGAGCUAAUACCGGAUAAUAUAUUGAACCGCAUGGUUCAAUAGUGAAAGACGGUUUUGCUGUCACUUAUAGAUGGAUCCGCGCCGCAUUAGCUAGUUGGUAAGGUAACGGCUUACCAAGGCAACGAUGCGUAGCCGACCUGAGAGGGUGAUCGGCCACACUGGAACUGAGACACGGUCCAGACUCCUACGGGAGGCAGCAGAAGGGAAUCUUCCGCAAUGGGCGAAAGCCUGACGGAGCAACGCCGCGUGAGUGAUGAAGGUCUUCGGAUCGUAAAACUCUGUUAUUAGGGAAGAACAAAUGUGUAAGUAACUAUGCACGUCUUGACGGUACCUAAUCAGAAAGCCACGGCUAACUACGUG